UACGUAGGGGGCAAGCGUUAUCCGGAUUUACUGGGUGUAAAGGGAGCGCAGGCGGUACGGCAAGUCUGAUGUGAAAGCCCGGGGCUCAACCCCGGGACUGCAUUGGAAACUGUCGGACUAGAGUGUCGGAGGGGUAAGUGGAAUUCCUAGUGUAGCGGUGAAAUGCGUAGAUAUUAGGAGGAACACCAGCGGCGAAGGCGGCUUACUGGACGAUCACUGACGCUGAGGCUCGAAAGCGUGGGGAGCAAACAGG
rnacentral:rRNA from 1 species